rnacentral:miRNA from 1 species
CCAUGUUGGUGCGUCGUGGUAUG